rnacentral:rRNA from 1 species
GAUGAACGCUGGCGGUCUGCUUAACACAUGCAAGUCGAACGAACUCUUCGGAGUGAGUGGCGGACGGGUGAGUAACGCGUGAGAAUCUGCCUGUGGGUCGGGGACAACCACUGGAAACGGUGGCUAAUACCGGAUGAGCCGAAAGGUAAAAGAUUUAUUGCCCACAGAUGAGCUCGCGUCUGAUUAGCUAGUUGGUAAGGUAAAAGCGUACCAAGGCGACGAUCAGUAGCUGGUCUGAGAGGAUGAGCAGCCACACUGGGACUGAGACACGGCCCAGACUCCUACGGGAGGCAGCAGUGGGAAUUUUUCCGCAAUGGGCGAAAAGCCUGACGGAGCAAACACCGCGGGGGAGGAAGGUUUUUUGGAUCGUAAAACCCCUUUGUCAAGGGAAGAAAGCUCUGACGGUACUUGACGAAAUAAAGCCUCGGCUAAACUCCGUGCCAGCCGCCGCGGUAA